UGUAAACAUCCCCGACUGGAAGCUGUACCUGCUCCAGCUUUCAGUCAGAUGUUUGCU
rfam:Taeniopygia guttata chromosome 2, whole genome shotgun sequence.